AUGGGAAAAGGAGAACCCCCCUCAUACCACUCCAAUGCCAGCCUGGAGCACCAUCCCUCCCCAAUCCCAGCUGUUAACAGUUCAGGUAAAAAAGCCAAGCAYAGGGACAUCCUGCAGCGCAGACGCUGCCCCACAAUAGCAAAUGCAGACAAAGCAAUUAAUCUCCACACAGUUUUGCGUGGGAUACAUUCCGUAUUUUUGGUACCUAAGGAACAAGAAAGGACCACACCCCAUCUUUCCCAAGUGUCUUCCAGCCCUCAGGCUGCUCACGGCAUGGGGCAGAUAUAUACUUUAACACAAAGGGCAGGGUCAGCUCYUGCCUUGAGGAAGCUCCACUCGCAGUUCAAGGACCUUAUGAUGGGCACGAGAACCCUGCUCCCACCACAUCUCCCAGGAGCUGGCCUCACGUCACCGGCUCCCAGCCUCGCAUCCUGGGGGCUGCCCUCCUCGCCCUGCACUGUGGGGCUCACUCCCUGCCCUGCUCCUCUCCCAGACACCAGGCUCCCUUGUCCCAGCUCCCCAUCCCACAGCCCGGGCACCCCCCCUCGCCCCCCAGGGGCCCGGCGCCCACCCCACAGCCUGGACCCCCCACCUCGCCCCCCAGGGGCCCGGCACCCACCCAACAGCCUAGGCUCCCCCUGGCCCCUCAGGGGCCCGGCACCCACCCCACAGCCCGGCUCCCUCCCCUCACCCCACAGAGGCCCGGCGCCCACCCCACAGCCCGGCCGCCCCCCGCCCCCCGGGGUCCUGGCGCCCAACCCACAGCCCGGCCUCCUCCCCUCACCCCACAGAGGCCCGGCGCCCACCCCACAGCCCGGGCCCCCCUCACUCCACAGGGGCCCAGCACCUACCCCACAGGCCGCGGUGUCCCACAUCGCCCCAGGGCUCCCCUGCAUCCCGCCUGGGUCCCGCCGCGGCCCGGGCCUCUCCCCAAACGCCCGCACACCCACCGGGUGGCAGAGGCCGGGUAUCCCCGCCAAAGGGCGCGCAGCCGCGCGGACUACAACUCCCAACAGACCCCGCUCCGGAGGCCCAAGAGCCCCGCCACGCGCGGCACGCCGGGAAUUGGAAUAUCGCGCGGCCGCUCGGCAUGCUGGGAAGUGUAGUCUUCCCCUCCCCGCGCCAUCUCACGGGCGCGAAGCGCAGCGCGGCCCGGGGGCUCGAGCCGUGGGGCCGGGCGCAACUGCACCCUCCUCUCGCCUGGGCUUCGCUCGUGCCAACAUGGGGGCGCAGAGACCCUCCUGCCCGCGAUGGGCCGUGCCUUUGCCCCACCCUGGUGCCGCACAGCUGCGGCAGGGCUCCCUCGCCGCCCACCUCGAGCCUUUCAGGCCACCGCACGUGCAAUGGCGCCUUCACGCCCUGGGUUUGGUCGGCCUCUGA
rnacentral:lncRNA from 1 species